AGCAGCCGCGGUAAUUCCAGCUCCAAUAGCGUAUAUUAAAGUUGUUGCAGUUAAAAAGCUCGUAGUUGAAUUUCGGGAUCAGUACGCUGGUCGUGCCUUGUGUAUGUACUGGUGUUACUGGUUCCUACCUUCUGACGAACCGUCAUGUCAUUAAAUUUGGUGUGGCGGGAAUCAGGACUGUUACUUUGAAAAAAUUAGAGUGUUUAAAGCAGGCUCGCGCUUGAAUACAUUAGCAUGGAAUAAUGAAAUAGGACGUUCGAUCCUAUUUUGUUGGUUUCUAGGAUUGACGUAAUGAUUAAUAGGGAUAGUUGGGGGCAUUAGUAUUCAAAUUGUCAGAGGUGAAAAUUCUUGGAUUUAUUGAAGACUAACUACUGCGAAAAGCAUUUGCCAAGGAUGUUUUCAUUAAUCAAGAACGAAAAGUUAGGGGGAUCGAAGACGAUCAGAUACCGUCGUAGUCUUAACCAUAAAACUAUGCCGACUAGGGAUCGGAUGAUGUUAUUUUUUAAUGACUCAUUCGGCG
rnacentral:rRNA from 1 species